rnacentral:rRNA from 1 species
AACAAGGAUUCCCCUAGUAGCGGCGAGCGAAGCGGGAAGAGCUCAAAUUUAUAAUCUGGCACCUUCGGUGUCCGAGUUGUAAUCUCUAGAAAUGUUUUCCGCGUUGGACCGCACACAAGUCUGUUGGAAUACAGCGGCAUAGUGGUGAGACCCCCGUAUAUGGUGCGGACGCCCAGCGCUUUGUGAUACAUUUUCGAAGAGUCGAGUUGUUUGGGAAUGCAGCUCAAAUUGGGUGGUAAAUUCCAUCUAAAGCUAAAUAUUGGCGAGAGACCGAUAGCGAACAAGUACCGUGAGGGAAAGAUGAAAAGCACUUUGGAAAGAGAGUUAACAGUACGUGAAAUUGUUGGAAGGGAAACGCUUGAAGUCAGACUUGCUUGCCGAGCAAUCGGUUUGCAGGCCAGCAUCAGUUUUCCGGGAUGGAUAAUGGUAGAGAGAAGGUAGCAGUUUCGGCUGUGUUAUAGCUCUCUGCUGGAUACAUCUUGGGGGACUGAGGAACGCAGUGUGCCUUUGGCGGGGGUUUCGACCUCUUCACACUUAGGAUGCUGGUGGAAUGGCUUUAAACGACCCGUCUUGAAACACGGACCUCCUGUGUGAAGUGA